CUACGGUGAACUCCCCCAUUUUCUUAACAUAAAAAGAAAAAAAAUCUGUUAUCAUCUCACUCUAUCCCCAGUUCCCCACCAGCAUCCUUAUCCAUCCACAUGGGUCAUCUUCUCCAAUUAGCAGCCGGUGGAUGAAGAUGUCACCGCUAGCCAUCACCGAACUAAUUCCCAAGCCAUUCCGAAUCCACUUCUCGAUUCAUUUCUUCCAAUUUCUCCUCGUUGAGGUACUGCGGCAGUUGACCGUGUGUGCGGAGUGCGUGGACGCGUUUGUCGCGUUCUGGAGGAUGUGGAUGCUCGACGACGUCGUCGAGUCUGGCAGGGUGGCCAUGGGGAGGAGCAGGGAAAACACAAAAGCUACACUGCUCAACCUCUUGGAUGGUCGAUGGCUAGAGGGCCGUGGCUGAGGUGUUGUCGCUUGGCCUCGUGGAGGAGCCUAUCAGGGAAAUCACCGAAUCACCCACUGAGGUUGAUUGUUGGUUCUGGAACAUGAGGUACGGGACAGAGGCUGGCCUUGCUGCUAUUGUCCUCCGUGAGAUGCUCGCCUCCUCAUUGUUGUUGCUAUCAGACUACUACCAAAUAAUGGCGGCACGGGGUAAAAAUGGCGGCACGCAACAACAGAGAGGCCAUUGAUUUGCUUAUAUCGGGUUCUGCUAUUAAGUUACUGAAGCAAGGUAUGUUCCUGUCUAUUUUGGUGGCCUCAUAUAGAUUUGCCAAUUGUGAAGUGAAUCCUAAUGUCUGAAGUAUGUUCUUGUAUAUUGUGCUGGCCUCGUACAGAUUCGGAUAAAAUAGCAUGUACAUGAAGGAAACUACAUGAAGAAAGUCUUCAAUUUUUUUGGAUUAAUAAUAUUUCUAACACUCACACGCUUAAUCUAAUAUAAGUAUCCUUAUCCUGGUCGAUGUACGUACUCCUACUUAUCUUGGUCGAUACAAAUAGUCUGUCGUACUAUUUACUUCAUCUUCAUGCAUUGUAUUUUUGGCUUUUGUAUAACAUGUCUAUUGUUCCCGCGGACUCCCUUUUCCUAUUGUUCUUGCAAAUUCGUCUCGGUGCAUUCAUCCUCUGAGUCAUUUGAAAUCACAACAGAUCUUAGUCUCCUUUUAUUGCCAUUAUGGAGCUCACGUGCUUGCUGAUGAUGAUAUUUUGUCUUGACGCCCAUCUUUGUUGAAUGUACUCCUGUCACUGUCAAUCUGGUUUCUCUUUCACACGCACCAGUUUGCAUGAAAGUUUGUCGGGUGAAACUUUAUUAUUCUGUGAUUGCAUACAUAUAAAUUUUAGAAGUUUGACACAUCUCUAAAAUCUAAAGUGUGUAUAGUUAAAAAAUCAAUCACCUUUUUAUCUGGCAUGUUCUGCUUCUUCAUUAACAUGGUGUCCACCUUAUCAUCCAUCAAUUCCUGUGCAACAUAUGUAAGAUGAACUAGUUAAGGAAUUCUAAAGAUGAUACUUCAUAUUUCUUAAAAAAAGUUAAUGCACCUUUACUUCUUCGACUUGAUCGUUCAAGUAGAGCAUCUCAAGCCUAUCAUCAGGCACAAAUGUCCUUUUGUUACAUAGUUUUGUGUUUCAAAGGUGAGGUUAUAUUAUUGAGCCUAAAUCAAAAUAUAAGUUUUUCCACAUAAUUUUUUAAUAAUCUUUGGUGCUUCUUAUGAUUUUGCAUCCAGUGAGUUCAGCAAGUGAGAUGUAGAUGUAUUAAUCAAGUUAUUCUUCUCUCCACGGGAUUCAUUUGUGUUGUAGUCCAAUAACAUUUGUUUAUUGGGAGAUUAUUGAUAUAACAGUUAGAUAUAUCAAUUAUCUGUAAGUCAUAAUAAUAACUAUCAACAUACCUGAGCAUUGUGUACCUUUUUCUGUCAUUUCUUAUAGUGUGCCCAUGGUAGCAAACUCGCUACAAUAAUCCGGGAGAACUUUCGAAGAUCCUAAUAUCAUUUACCUGUCUAUUGUAUGAAAAAAUAUUUUAAUUUCAUUGCUCACUGGCCUAUACUUUGUAGAUUCCACAACCUUAAAGUUGCUGAAUGCAUAAAUAGAUUUCUCAUUGAUCUUUGAUCUAAACAUGUCUAUUAGAUUCUUCUAGAUAGUAGCAUGGAUUGUUUAACCCUGUCGAAACAAUCAAAUAUGGUUAGUAACUGCUUCUUAACUUGAAAAAAAAUCCAAUUAAAUAUAUAAAAAACAUAUCUGCUCAUCCAUCAGUAUCGUAUGUAGGCUAAUAAGCUCAUAGGUUGUAGGAUUGACUGAAUCCCACACUCUUGUGUUCAAUUGAAUGUUCUAAUUUUGUCCGCUUGUAGUUAAGUCGCUCAACUUCUUGUAUGUGAUAGUGUUAUUUCCUCAAAACUAAUAGAAAGCGGUAUAUGAAUUAACAUAGGAUUUAUGAAGAUUCUAGCCAGAAAAAGUUAGCUUGCUAAAUAACACUCACCAAAUCUGAUGAUUCAGGCCAGAAGUGCUUUGGCGUGACUUCUUCCAACAUUGAUUGGAGCAAUUGGGUGUGGCUUUGUUGGGCGUCGGGCGUGCUUUGGCGUGACUUCAUCGGGCGUCGAGUGAAGCGGCUGAGCAUGGAUUUUUGUGGUAGCUCUUUCGACUUCAAUCUGUUCAAGUCAUGGUGAUUGUCAACUUCUAAUUGCUUGGUGUGUGAUUGUGCGGCCGGCUGUACUUGUUUAUAUGGUUGAGGUGGCUGGGUUUGAGAUCGCCGAGACAUGCGGAAAUAUGAUCCUAACCUUGUCCUAUUUUUAUAUUUUGGAAUUUUCAUCAUGUGAGAUAUGAAAGUUGUCCUUAUUAGUUUA